rnacentral:autocatalytically_spliced_intron from 1 species
AACCGUGUGUACUGUGGUACACUCACGGCGGCAUACAAUUAAUUGUAUGAGAAUUUCACUUAUAUCGGUGAAGUCCCAAGUGGAUAAUACCGAGGGAAGUCGCAAGACACCCGUAGAGACUAAAUGUGAAAUAGCCAAAUUUAUUUGGUGAAAGUUAUAGUCCAAUCCCAUAAGUAAUUGUGGU